GACGAACGCUGGCGGCGUGCUUAACACAUGCAAGUCGAACGGAAAGGCCCUGCUGUUGUGGGGUGCUCGAGUGGCGAACGGGUGAGUAACACGUGAGUAACCUGCCCUUGACUUUGGGAUAACUUCAGGAAACUGGGGCUAAUACCGGAUAGGAGCUCCUGCUGCAUGGUGGGGGUUGGAAAGUUUCGGCGGUUGGGGAUGGACUCGCGGCUGAUCAGCUUGUUGGUGGGGUAGUGGCUUACCAAGGCUUUGACGGGUAGCCGGCCUGGGAGGGUGACCGGCCACAUUGGGCCUGAGAUACGGCCCAGACUCCUACGGGAGGCAGCAGUGGGGAAUAUUGCACAAUGGGCGGAAGCCUGAUGCAGCAACGCCGCGUGCGGGAUGACGGCCUUCGGGUUGUAAACCGCUUUCGCCUGUGACGAAGCGUGAGUGACGGUAAUGGGUAAAGAAGCACCGGCUAACUACGUG
rnacentral:rRNA from 1 species